rnacentral:lncRNA from 10 species
GCCUACGGUGUUCCAUGGAACACGCCUAGAAAACAGAAGCUCUGUGGACACCAAGUGCUUCCUGGGAGGAGUCCUGAAGGGUACCCUCCAUGACCAGUUGUGUUUCAGAGAAGGCAGAUCUAGUCCAUUCAAGGCCAGGAUCCCCCGGAGGUCAGUACAUUAUUUGCCCAGUGAACUGUGGGCAUAUCUAUACUUUUUGCACUUUUCCAGGCAGGAAGGAGGAAGUAGUACUGAGAACCCACUGUCUUGGGUUAAGGAGCAUUCUCUGGGCUGCUUAGGGGAGAAGAUUUCUAUCCCAAGGUCCUGCAGCCUUGGGGUAAGAUGGGAGCAGAGAAGACAGAGUGUGGGGCCACUGUGGAGGCAGCAGGGAGGGGUUCCUUGUGGCCACUGAUCGGAGCCCUCAUAUUCCUUGUGGGGAGGCUCUAAUUUCUCCAGAGAUGCUUCUCUACUUGGAGGUCUGCCCUGUGUCGGGAGCAUUAGUGGCCCUGCAGAGAGGUGGGACGUUAUUUGGAUACUCUUGCUCGUAGGGAGUUUGUUGCCUCCCAAAAGGUGUGUGGCAUUUGUAAGUUGUUCUCCUUUUCCAUGGUUCUUCAGAAGACUUGAAUAUGGUUUGUAAUCUAGGCACCAAAAUUGAAAUUCCCUCCAAAGAGCCACACAAAUAAAUGACCUCCCAUACCAUUAAGUUCUCUCUAUGCAUGGCAAUCCCUAGUUAACCUCAGACAGGUAAGAAGAGAGAGUGUUUUUCAUCAAUGACAAGGAAAGUUUUUUCUGGCUAAUGUGGUAUAGUAGCAAAUGCAACUAAAAAGGACACCCCCAAGCAUGUCUUUAAUUCAUUUGUACACAUCCAACAACAUCACUUUUAAGUACACAUAGGUAGGAUAAAUAUUUAGUCAUUAAGUAUCUGAAGUUAUUGUAAUUCUAUUUCAGCACUAUUCUUUUCCCUACAUUAAAAAAAAAUUUCUAGACUGUGCUUCAACCUCAAAGGACAUACCUUGGACAGAAUAUUCCAUUAAAGACAUUGUUGGAGCAACUUUUAUUAUUCAUUAGUGUGUUUUAAAGUGGACCUGAACAGAAAUGCUUUUUGCUAAAGUAAAAAUACAUCCGUUUCUAUGAUCUAAUUGUGCAAUUGGUUAGAAUUUCUAUCUAUCAGUUCAAAGGGAAACUUGGUUUCAGUGAAUUUGUUUUUAAUAAAAAUGUGCUAUCUAUGAUAAAUAUAUUUCACUUUGUUCAAAUGGAUUUGAUUGGGAAAACAUAUUGAGCAGAAGUACUGGUACAGCUUAAUUUCAUUGCUUUGAGAAAACGUAUUGAAUGCUGGUUUGAAUUAAAUUCUAUUUGUUUUAAUAAAAGUGUAUUGGCCUGAGUGUACAUAUAUUUGUUUUAGUGGUAGUGCAUUGGAUCCAAUAAAACUAUAUUGGCUUCACUGCUUAUGUCUCCUUUUCAGUGAAAAUGGAUUGAAUGGGAAAACGAAAUAGGCAUGAAGCAGCCAGCCCCAAGGUCUCUGUUUGGACUCAGAUGUGAAACUGAAUUGCCACCAUAAAGAAUGCAAUUUUCUGAAGCAGCCCUUUCCAUGGACAAGUUAUGGGACUGUCCAGGACACUAGAGGAAGAAAUCCUCUGACAGCCCAGAGCAGGUUUGUCAGCAUCCCUUAAACUUCACACAGGACUCAUUGGUUCCAAUAAGAGGCUGUCUACCAAGCAUUCCUAAAUCCCUUAAAUGAACAGAAAAGGGAUCAUGAGUACUCCCUAAGGAUGGUGCUGGCCCAUCAGCAUUGAAACGGGUCUGACUUUGAACUGAUUGAAAAGAGGGGAAAAGGGAAACAAGUGUCACCCUGAGACAUACUUCAGAAUCACCAGACUUCCCAAAGAUUAUAGACCCUCAGAGAAGAAUCGGCUUCACACAAGGGAGUUGAUGCUGGUACUGCCGUCUAGAAAAUGGCAGCCUCUGCCAAGUGCCACGACUGCAUUGUGUAGCUGUAAAUGGCUCCAAGAUGCCAGGCCACAGAUACUCCUUUGCAUAGGUGCCCUGACCCAAAAGCCGGUGUUAAAAUGAUGGGGAGUAAUGACAAUAUUGGCUGCUAUCCCUACGUGACUGUCUCUCGAUUAAAGAAAGUAUGUGCUCUGAAUUGUUUUUCCACCAGAAGAUGAACUUGAUCUGACUCCUCUACCCAGUUUCAUUUAGCCUUGAUGAGAAAUAAAUGCAAACACUAUUUUCAUUAACACCUUUCUUCCAACUAAAUGUGCUAACAAGCUCCAGACUUCAACCUUCCCAUUAAUAACUGCUAAUUUUGAAGUAGUAUCAUUACCAAGGAAAUCUAAGCCCUUGGUGUGUAGUUGCUCAUUUUUUUGAAUGCCUGAAUCCUUAUAAGACCCUACAAGGAUAAGAGAGAAAAAUUUAUUCACAGAUUCUUUUUUUCCUAGAAAUAGUCC